AUACCCCAUACGAUCUUUGAAUAGCAUUAUUUAGAGAAGAAAGUUCCGGCGGUAGAAGAUGGGCAUGCGUCCUAUUAGUUAGUUGGAGAGGUAACGGCUCCCCAAGACAUCGAUAGGUAGGGGUCCUGAGAGGGAGACCCCCCACACUGGUACUGAGACACGGACCAGACUCCUACGGGAGGCAGCAGUGAGGAAUAUUGGACAAUGGAGGCAACUCUGAUCCAGCCAUGCCGCGUGCAGGAAGACUGCCCUAUGGGUUGUAAACUGCUUUUAUACAGGAAGAAAUGUACCUACGUGUAGGUAUUUGAC
rnacentral:rRNA from 1 species